rnacentral:rRNA from 1 species
UAGGGAAUCUUCGGCAAUGGACGAAAGUCUGACCGAGCAACGCCGCGUGAGUGAAGAAGGUUUUCGGAUCGUAAAACUCUGUUGUUAGAGAAGAACAAGGACGUUAGUAACUGAACGUCCCCUGACGGUAUCUAACCAGAAAGCCACGGCUAACUACGUGCCAGCAGCCGCGGUAAUACGUAGGUGGCAAGCGUUGUCCGGAUUUCUUGGGCGUAAAGCGAGCGCAGGCGGUUUCUUAAGUCUGAGAUGAAAGCCCCCGGCUCAACCGGGGAGGGUCAGUGGAAACUGGGAGACAUGAGUGCAGAAGAGGAGAGUGGAAUUCCAUGAGUAGCGGUGAAAUGCGUAGAUAUAUGGAGGAACACCAGUGGCGAAGGCGGCUCGCUGGUCUGUAACUGACGCUGAGGCUCGAAAGCGUGGGGAGCAAACAGG